GUAGCAUUUGCAUAAAGCGAAGGAACAAUCAACAAUACAAAAUCAUAUCCGCAUUGCAUUGCCACACUUUCUUCUUGUGUUUUUUUAGUCACCAGCUUUCCACCAUGAGAAAGGAAACAGACCAAGUGACCCAACAACAACCUUUAGGUUAUCCGACUGAAAACCCUCCGAGUGAAAAGAAGGAGAAGAAGAAUCGUUGGGCGCGGAGCAAGCCCAAGGGAGAGCGAGGCUGUAUUGAAGGAUGCCUGUUUGCAUUAUGUUGCUGCUGGAUAUGUGAGAUUUGCUUUGACUAAAGCUGAGGGGGCUGGAGUGUCUGAAUCUCUUCAUCUGAUUUCCUUACACUAUACUAUACCACCAAUGUUGUUUUCUAGGAUGUAACCAUAACUCUUUAAGACUAAAGCUGUGUGUUUCAGUGUGUGUUUCUUGAUUCUACCCAACAAAGAGCUGUAAUAAUGUAUGUAUAAUUAGCCUUGUCUGUUUAUUCAGAGCUUCAU